rnacentral:rRNA from 1 species
GAUGAACGCUGGCGGCGUGCCUAAUACAUGCAAGUCGAGCGAACAGACGAGGAGCUUGCUCCUCUGACGUUAGCGGCGGACGGGUGAGUAACACGUGGAUAACCUACCUAUAAGACUGGGAUAACUUCGGGAAACCGGAGCUAAUACCGGAUAAUAUAUUGAACCGCAUGGUGCAAUAGUGAAAGACGGUUUUGCUGUCACUUAUAGAUGGAUCCGCGCCGCAUUAGCUAGUUGGGAAGGUAACGGCUUACCAAGGCAACGAUGCGUAGCCGACCGGAGAGAGUGAUCGGCGACACUGGAACUGAGACACGGUCCAGACUCCUACGGGAGGCAGCAGUAGGGAAUCGUCCGCAAUGGGCGAAAGCCUGACGGAGCAACGCCGCGUGAGUGAUGAAGGUCUUCGGAUCGUAAAACUCUGUUAUUAGGGAAGAACAAAUGUGUAAGUAACUAUGCACGUCUUGACGGUACCUAAUCAGAAAGCCACGGCUAACUACGUG